rnacentral:rRNA from 1 species
AUUGAACGCUGGCGGCAGGCCUAACACAUGCAAGUCGCGCGAGCGGCGGACGGGUGAGUAAUGUAUGGGGACUGCCCGAUAGAGGGGGAUAACUACUGGAAACGGUAGCUAAUACCGCAUACUAUCGGAUAACCCAUAUGGGAUUAGCUAGUAGGUGAGGUAAUGGCUCACCUAGGAGACGAUCCCUAGCUGGUCUGAGAGGAUGAUCAGCCACACUGUGACUAUGACACGGUCCGGACUCCUACGGAGGCAGGAGUGGGGAAUAUUGCACAAUGGGCGCAAGCCUGCUGCAGCCAUGCCGCGAGUAUGAAGGAGGCCAUAGGGUUGUAAAGUACUUUCAGUCGGGGGGCGUUACCGACAGGAGAAGCACCGGCUAACUCCGUGCCAGCAGCCGCGGUAAUUC